GGAAAAGGAUAUGCAAGAAAAAUCGCUUUUGAAGGAAUAAAGUUUGUGGAUGUUCAUCACCCUGUUCAAAUAGAUCAAUAUUACUGCCCCUCUAGGGUUAAUUGCCAAAACUUUACGUCGACAGUUGCUAUAAGUGACAUAUCGUACACUGCUAUUACUGGGACCUCACUGGAUGAGCAGGUGAUUGAUCUGAGUUGCAGCCAAAGCGUUGGGUGCACCAAUAUUAAACUGGAUAGGGUUUAUAUUACAUCAUCAACUCCAGGAAAGAAAGUUUAUGCAAACUGUGUCAAUGCUCAUGGAAAAUCUAGCCAUACAAGACCUGCCGUCAAUUGCCUGCUACCAUAGAAACUCAUUCUCCAUUUUUCUUAUUAACUUCUUAAUUCCAGCUGUUAUUGUAAUCUGUUAUAAAUUAUUGUUUGCCUGCUGGUAAUAACAACUUGAAGACUCGUUAUUAAUUACUAUGUUAUGUUUUUUACUUCAUUCUUAUAUAAUUAUGUACUCGUAUUCCAUA